rnacentral:rRNA from 1 species
UACGUAGGGUGCAAGCGUUGUCCGGAUUUAUUGGGCGUAAAGAGCUCGUAGGCGGCUUGUUACGUCGUUCGUGAAAACUUGGGGCUCAACCCCAAGCUUGCGGUCGAUACGGGCAGGCUAGAGUUCGGUAGGGGAGACUGGAAUUCCUGGUGUAGCGGUGGAAUACGCAGAUAUCAGGAGGAACACCGAUGGCGAAGGCAGAUCUCUGGGCCGUAACUGACGCUGAGGAGCGAAAGCAUGGGGAGCGAACAGG